GUCAUAUCUUGUUAGGAAGACCAUGGCAAUAUGAUAGAAGGGUCACACAUGAUGGAUAUAGGAAUCGUUAUAGCUUUGUCAAGGAUGGGAAGACUAUUACUCUUGCGCCAUUAACACCGGCACAAGUGUAUGGAGAUCAAAUCAAGCUGAAAAGUGAGGAAGACGAGAGAAUAAGAGAGUCGGGAAAAAGGAGAGGCAAUAGUGAAACCAUCAAUAAGAGAGAAAAUAGUGAGGUGGCUGAGAGUGGAGAAAAGAGAGAGAAGCCACAUGAGCGGAGAGAAAAGGAGUCAGUUGAGAGGAGAG
rnacentral:lncRNA from 1 species